rnacentral:rRNA from 1 species
AAUUUUCCGCAAUGGGCGCAAGCCUGACGGAGCAAUACCGCGUGAGGGAGGAAGGCUUUUGGGUUGUAAACCUCUUUUCUCAAGGAAGAAGACCUGACGGUACUUGAGGAAUCAGCAUCGGCUAACUCCGUGCCAGCAGCCGCGGUAAUACGGAGGAUGCAAGCGUUAUUCGGAAUUAUUGGGCGUAAAGCGUCCGCAGGUGGUGCCUCAAGUCUGCUGUCAAAGACCGAAGCUCAACUUCGGGCAGGCAGUGGAAACUGAAGCACUAGAGUACGGUAGGGGUAGAGGGAAUUUCCAGUGUAGCGGUGAAAUGCGUAGAGAUUGGAAAGAACACCAGUGGCGAAGGCGCUCUACUGGACCGUAACUGACACUCAGGGACGAAAGCUAGGGUAGCGAAAGGGAUUAGAUACCCCUGUAGUCUUAGCUGUA